rnacentral:rRNA from 1 species
UACGGGGGGGGCAAGCGUUGUUCGGAAUUACUGGGCGUAAAGGGCGCGUAGGCGGCCGCCUAAGUCAGACGUGAAAUCCCUCGGCUCAACCGGGGAACUGCGUCUGAUACUGGGUGGCUUGAAUCCGGGAGAGGGAUGCGGAAUUCCAGGUGUAGCGGUGAAAUGCGUAGAUAUCUGGAGGAACACCGGUGGCGAAGGCGGCAUCCUGGACCGGUACUGACGCUGAUAUACGAAAGCGUGGGGAGCAAACAGG